CUUUAAUUAGAUAAGAUACUGAAAUGAUGUUAGGUUUUGUCUUUUGAAAAAAUGAUGGAGAAGGAAAGUUGGGCUUGAUGGUGUAACAAGAGUAGGCAAAGGGAUUAUCGAAGGGAAGACGUGGAUGAUGGAGAAGGAAGGUUGGACUAGAUGAAGGUGUAGCAAGAGCAGGCAAACGUAUUAUCGAAGUGAUGAUGUGGGG
rnacentral:misc_RNA from 1 species